GGUGAAGUGGGUGAGUGGCUGAAACCAGUUCCCUGCUAAGGAACCAUACCUAAUUACGGGUAUCGAGGGUUCGAAUCCCUCCUUCACCGCCA
rnacentral:tRNA from 23 species